AGUGAACGCUGGCGGCGUGCCUAAUACAUGCAAGUCGAACGGAGUGGCGCACGGGUGAGUAAUGUAUAGCUAAUCUGCCCUACACUAGAGGACAACAGCUGGUAACGACUGCUAAUACUCCAUAGUGUAGGAUGAGGGUAUAUUGUAUCAGCUAGUUGGUGAGGUAAUGGCUGACCAAGGCUAUGAAGCAUAACUGGUGUGAGAGGAUGAUCAGUAAACCUGGAAGUGAGACACCGUCCAGACUCCUACGGGAGGGAGCAGUAGGGAAUAUUGCUCAAUGGGGGAAACCCUGAAGCAGCAACGGCGCGUGGAGGAUGACACUUUUCGGAGAGUAAACUCCUUUUAUUAGGGAAGCGGUACCUAACGAAUAAGCACCGGCUAACUCCGUGCCAGCAGCCGCGGUAAUAC
rnacentral:rRNA from 1 species